rnacentral:lncRNA from 1 species
UUCAACUUAUUUAGUAAUGCACGCUGUUAUGGGUAAUGUUGAAACAUCUGAAGAUUUGGUAAGAAUUGUGUGUUUGUUGAUGAUAAGGAUGUUUCUUGUGGUGAGAAAGUAUUUGUCAGAGAAGGUUAUGUGGUGUUCUCCCCUACUGUGUUUAACAUUUGUUGGUAAUGAUAUUAGCGCUCCAAUUGAGGUCAAAGAUGACUCUGUGUUGGAACAUGUC